UACAGAGGUCUCAAGCGUUGUUCGGAUUCAUUGGGCGUAAAGGGUGCGUAGGCGGCGCGGUAAGUCGGGUGUGAAAUCUCGGAGCUUAACUCCGAAACUGCAUUCGAUACUGCCGUGCUUGAGGACUGGAGAGGAGACUGGAAUUUACGGUGUAGCGGUGAAAUGCGUAGAUAUCGUAAGGAAGACCAGUGGCGAAGGCGGGUCUCUGGACAGUUCCGUGACGCUGAAGCACGAAGGCCAGGGGAGCAAACGGG
rnacentral:rRNA from 1 species